rnacentral:rRNA from 1 species
UACGUAGGGUGCAAGCGUUGUCCGGAAUUAUUGGGCGUAAAGAGCUCGUAGGCGGUUCGUCGCGUCGAAUGUGAAAACCCGGGGCUCAACCCCGGGCCUGCAUUCGAUACGGGCAGACUAGAGUUCGGUAGGGGAGUCUGGAAUUCCUGGUGUAGCGGUGAAAUGCGCAGAUAUCAGGAGGAACACCGGUGGCGAAGGCGGGACUCUGGGCCGAUACUGACGCUGAGGAGCGAAAGCGUGGGGAGCAAACAGG